UAUAUUGGACUAUGGGGGCAACCCUGAUCCAGCCAUGCCGCGUGUGUGAAGUAGGUCUUCGGUUUGUAAAGCACUCUAAGUUGGGAGGAGUGGCUUUAGGUUACUACACUGAAGUUUUGACGUUACCAACAGAAUAAGCACCGGCUAACUCUGUGCCAGCAGCCGCGGUAACACGGAGGGUGCAAGCGUUGUUCGGAAUUACUGGGCGUAAAACGCGCGUAGGGGGUUCAGAAAGAUGGGUGUGAAAACCCCGGGCUUAACCUGGGAACAGCUAUGAUAACUGCUGAACUAGAGUACGGUAGAGGGUAGUGGAAAUUCCUGUGUAGCGGUGAAAAGCGUAGAAAUAAGAAGGAACAACAGAAGCGAAGGCGACUACCUGGAGUGAUACUGACACUGAGGUGCGAAAGCGUGGGGAGCAAACA
rnacentral:rRNA from 1 species